UUUGAUGAGAAGAAUAAGCCUCAUUCUGAUUCAACAGCAGAGAUCAAAGAAAAGACUUCUGUUUGCUGGCCAUCAGAUAUAUGUUAUCUGUGUUUAAAGAAUUGAAAAACACACAUCAAAGGAACAUUCUCUUGGAAAGAGAGG
ensembl:misc_RNA